GCCGCCUCUCUCCGCCGCCGGAGCCCUCGCUGGCAGGCGGCCGCCGUCCGCCGCGGAGGGGUUAAGCACUUGAAAAGCCCAUCUUGUCGGCUGCUGCCACAGUUUCCAAAGCUUUAACAUCUUCAGGUGAGAGGCUACAGCACGCUGCUGCACUGCUCCAGCAUGGGUCGGCAUGAAAAGAAUUGUUGUUCUAUGAAAAGAAUAGAAGUUCCUCAGAUGUGAGAUACGCUCUGUUAUUACCUGCACUCAGUGUCUUUUACAUUCUUCACUUGUCUGCUUUUAAUGUGCCGCCAAAUUAGCAUACCAAGCUGUAGAUGUUCAUUUACAUUUUGCUCUCCAAGCAAACAAAUAGAAAAGAAGUUAUUUCCUUUCCCAGAUUUUUACAAGUAUCAAGCGAUGUAUUUGAAUUUCUGUUAUUACUCCUAAAACCUUUUUCUGAUUAUUUUCACAGAAAUGCAAGAAUAAAUUUUGAAAAUAAAUAUGAUCUCAGAUUCAUUACCUUAAAGUAUCUAUCUUUUCCAAUACUUUCAACCAUUCAUUUUCUUUCUCUUUACUAAAAUUCAGCCUUACAAAUUUUCUUCUGCUUUGCACAAAGGCUCAUCUGUUACAGAGUGUUUGUAUAUUACUGGAAAAAAUGCUGUACCUAAUUACAAUUCUUAUGACGUUCCUCAAUUUAUAUCUGUUUAAUACAGCUCUCUUAUUUCAUUUAAGGAACCAUUUUUCCCCAGUGUAAAAUGUCACCAUCAAUACUGCAUUUGAUGAUGUUACAUAUCAAUCUUCUAUGUGAUUCUAAAUCAAAAGGCCUCUAUGUAGUCAGCUUCGGAUGUCUCCUACUUCACACCUGUCAGUUUUUAUUGUCUUUCCCAUGAAGAAGUUAAUCAUGUUUGUUAAACAGUUUUCCCUUUAUACAUCCAUGCUGACUAGUGCGUAUCUGUUUAUGUUUCCCAGUUAUCUUUCCAAAUAAUUAC